GAGCUUGUGGAGCGGCCUCCUACAUCAGGGCUGGCGUGUUUUGUUGCCUGAAGGUAGACCUCAGCAGCUCUCCACACAUUCCCGUUGAGGGUGAGUCACCCAUAAUACUCGACCAGAACUGAAGGCAUUCAAGGCUGAAGUCCAAGGACCGGUCUGCACCUACGGGAGUAAGCCCACCGCGUGGCAUCCCCAUAUUCACCACACUAGUGCCUGCCUACCCGCAGGGCACCAGCAACUGGCUACCAGCACAACGGAGCCUCAACUCACCCCACCCCGAAGGAUAAUCUUGAAUACAGAUAAGUGAAGACAGCCGAAUAAGCAAACCAUACUCGAGUUUAAUGAGCAGCAUCCCAGUGAUGAUAUUAUCUUAAAAGUUAUAAAAUCCUAAAUCAUUCUGUACAUCCCCCACCCCUUACUCACUGAUUGUAUUUCUUCUUAAUUAUUCUUUACUAAAUAUUUGUUCUUCCAUAAAAUCAUCAAGCUUUUCGUUUUGCUUGUGCCUGUCUAUGUGCCUAUAUAAUACCAACAAAAUAUUUACCACGUUGUGGGUCUAAGACUUUACCCCUUGGAGUCGCAGGCCAUCAUCCCCACCGGAAAGUGCAAACGGACUGAUCGGCGGACUUAUUCCACCAUACUUAUUUAAACAGAAAGAAACAUGUAAAAUAUUUUUUAAAAAUACUUUUUUUUUUUAAUUUCCAUUCCUCCUUUAUACAGCAGACAAACUUUUGUAAAUAUAUUAUUUUUCUCUUAAAAACUAAUGAAUACAAGAUUUAAAACAGGAAAAACAUUUUUAAAAAUACUUUAAUAAAAAAAAAACAAAGCUUAAACGAAGUUAAUUGUAUUAAUUAGUUUAGAUCAGUCAUGUAAGUAUAUUUGUAAUAGAUCUAGAUUAACAAUAAUAAAUUUGCGCAAUGAGAACUGUUUUUACCAAUUGUAUUUGUUGAGCGGGAUUUCACACUGAUAACUUUCGCAAUGCGCUAUAAUAUACACCAUCAGUCGAAUUUCUAAGAAAAUCGUUAAAGACGUUUUCGAGAUACUUGGCCGCCUACCUAUAGGUCCGAGUCCCCCCCCCCCGCUCCACCAUUAACUCGCAAGUUGAAUAGAGAAAUUGUACAAAGCUGUAGCUUGAAAAUGAAAAUGUGUGCAUACACAGCGGCGUAACUUCUUUUUCAUUUUGUUUUAUAUAAGUAGGAUCCAGAAGCAUGUGACAGAGACAAAUACGCCUCACACUUGUCAAACAAUUUAUUAUUAACAUUUCGUUUGCUUUCAUUAAUAAAACCUCAGAAACAUUCCAAUCUGUCUAGAUUUACUUGGUACUAAAACCUUUUUCCUUGUGUGUGUGUGUGUGAGUGUGUUAAAAUAGAAAUCAAACAAUGAGAUGUGUCUAGAUCUAAAUAUAGCUAUGGAAAGUUCAGGACUAUCUCUGCAAACAUUAACUUAACUAGAUAAACACAUACACAACUUGUCUACCGUGUAGGAUAGUGGCCAGGAUGAAGGCAGUGGCCGUAAUUUGCGUUCUUGUUAUUGUAACUGGAUUCCUUUGUGGCAGUCAUGCUACCUGCGCUCCAGGGUCUUUCCAAUGUUUUGAUGGCCGCCAGUGUGUAGCCUUGAGCAAGGUGUGUGACUACGUAGCUGACUGUGCUGACAGGUCUGAUGAGGCAACGUGUCUUUCAUGUGGGGCAGGUCAUCGCUUCUGCACCAGUGUCAAAAAAUGUGUUGCAAACAGCAAAUUCUGUGACGGUGUAGAUGACUGUGGUGACAAUUCUGACGAAAGAAAUUGUCCUGUUGCUACCCUAGGAUAAUGAAAGGCAUUUUAUCCAUUUGUGAGGUUACACCCUACCUAUAAAAGAAAAUAAACUGUAAACUGCUGAUGCAAAUGAAUAAAUUGUCUGUCUUUUCA